CGCCUCUCUCAUGUCGACCAAUUCACACGAUUUAGAUGUAAAAACUACAAUGCGUAAGUUAUAGUGCGUUUUCGUUAUGACAAGUGUCCUAUUACCCAGUGAGGGACAACAUGGUGGGACAUUUAAAGUACCACGACUGCGAAGCCGCGAUCAACCAGAUGUUUAGACACGGAGCUGUGUACUUCGUAGCGUGGUGCAUGAUGGGGCCUCAGAGUCAUCUGUCCUCCCAACAGCCACCAGGCUUUCCUGCACUGCCAUCCACACCCUCUCCGACAUGGAUACUAUCCGGCCACUUGGGAAUGGG